rnacentral:rRNA from 1 species
CCGAAAAUCUAAGGUUUCCUGAGGAAGGUUCGUCCUCUCAGGGUAAGUCGGGACCUAAGCCGAGAGCGAGAGCUGUAGGCGAUGGACAACAGGUUAAUAUUCCUGUACUACCGAUGAUUGUAUGAGUGAAGUGGGGACGCAGAAGGAUAAGUUGAGCACGCCGUUGGUUGAGCGUGUCCAAGCAGUGAGGUUUGAAUGUAGGCAAAUCCGCAUUCUACAAGAUUGAGCUGUGAUGGGGUGACGAAAGUCAAUAAGCAACUGAUUUCACGCUGCCGAGAAAAGCCACUAGCGAGAUCAAAGGUACCCGUACCGCAAACCGACACAGGUAGAUGAGGAGAGAAUCCUAAGGUGAGCGAGCGAACUAUUGUUAAGGAACUCGGCAAAAUAACCCCGUAACUUCGGGAGAAGGGGUGCCCACAUAAGUGGGCCGCAGUGAAGAGGUCCAGGCAACUGUUUACCAAAAACACAGGUCUCUGCUAAAUCGAAAGAUGAAGUAUAGGGGCUGACGCCUGCCCGGUGCUGGAAGGUUAAGGGGAAGUGUUAGAGCAAUCGAAGCACCGAACUUAAGCCCCAGUAAACGGCGGCCGUAACUAUAACGGUCCUAAGGUAGCGAAAUUCCUUGUCGGGUAAGUUCCGACCCGCACGAAAGGCGUAAUGAUCUGGACACUGUCUCAACAAUAGGCUCGGUGAAAUUGUAGUACCGGUAAAGAUGCCGGUUACCCGCAGCAGGACGGAAAGACCCCGUGGAGCUUCACUGUAGCUUGAUAUUGAGUUUCGGCGUUGCAUGUACAGGAUAGGUGGGAGACUAUGAAACGGGUACGCCAGUAUCCGUGGAGUCACCGUUGGGAUACCACCCUUGUAACGUUGGAAUUCUAACCGAGUAUCGUAAUCCGGUACCGGGACAGUGUCAGGUGGGCAGUUUGACUGGGGCGGUCGCCUCCUAAAGAGUAACGGAGGCGCCCAAAGGUUCCCUCAGCGCGGACGGAAAUCGCGCGAAGAGUGCAAAGGCAAAAGGGAGCUUGACUGCGAGACAUACAGGUCGAGCAGGGACGAAAGUCGGGCUUAGUGAUCCGGUGGUACCG